AAAUACCCGAACGGGUUCUACACCUCUAUACCGAAAUACCCAAAAAUCCGAAAUACCCGAUUCGAACCCGAACGGGUACCCGAACGUCCACCCCUAUCCUAAGAGAUGAAUUCGUACAUAACAUGAAAAGACACUAAAAUGAGGAGAUUAAAACGUGAAACAGAGAGUAAAGAAUAUUGAACAAUAAAUCUAUGUGGUUUGAGAUUAUUGUGCUGCACAUGCAAACGCAUCCUCUUAUGAAUCAUGAAAACCAUAUGAAUCAAGUAUGCCUCAACUCUCUUCUGCUGCAAAGGUAAUUACUAAAGCUCUAACCUUGAUGCAGCCGUGAUGGCAAGUGGUAUUGAAUAGAUUAUCGUAAAUGUUUGGAGACUGCACAUAGAUUGAAUAAUAUUAUGUUUGGAAAAUUCAAGACUGAGAAGAAAAUGAAAUAUAUAUGCAACGGAAAUUACCCGACAGAGAGUACAGAUGUCUUCAGUUCUGGAUUGGUAACAGUGAUUAAUAUUAUAAGUUCAUAUGACCACCACUAUAGACAGAAACACAUGAAAAUAUUUUAUAACAAAACAAUGUGGUGGCAUCGAGAAUCUGAAAGGCACAUUGAAAAGAGAAAUACCAAACCAUAGUGCUAGAAAGAAGAGCACAUCAGAAGAACUCUCCAACACCAUUAAAUAUAUCCACCAUAGAGGGGGGAACUUGUCUCAAAACAUGAAGAGGAGAACCACAUGAUAGAUCCAAGAACGGCACAAAGCCAGCUUGACAAACCCUUAGCCAAGGCUCCUCCGAGAAAACCAAUCCCUGACUUGUAAACCAGAAGCCUACAUAGAGGAACGUGGAGACAUAACACAAAUUUAGAGGUAAUGAGGAGGGGUCUGAUCAUUCUCUGGUUCCGGAAGUAGCGAGCGAGGGGCUGUAGAACAGGGUAAGAGAAGAGCCCAUGGAUGAGCCAGACAACAUAUCUGCCGGCUUGGACAAGGAAAACAAAAAGCACUAUGAGUCUACACUUAUAAAUAAGGGUUCUUGAAUAUCUGGUCGUAAGCCAAACCGAACGAGAUUAUAUGCCAAUGUUCACUGUUAUCCCACCUGAGUCUUGUUUGCUAUCAAUCAAAAGUCUUCACCUUUCAUCGGUUCAAUUCUGGGGGGAUGAAUAUGUUGCAACGCUUUUAAAAAGGUGUGCAGCUCUUGAAGAUAUGGUUAUAAGCCGAACCAGAUAUGACAAUGUGAAGUUAUAUAGUAUCAAUGUGCCUACUUUGAAGAGCUUAACUAUUAAUAACUCCAGAGAGAAACGUGCCGACGACGACAAGGAGAAUCAUGGGUUUUGGAUAAAUACUCCUGUUUUGCAGACUUUGAACAUUAAGGAUACUGUCAGUAACUUUCUAAUGCUUGAGUUUACGCCAGAGGUGACAAAAGCGAAUAUCCAACCAAUCUGACAAGUUCAUUGGAUCUCUUACCUCAGUCCAACAUCUUUCUCUAUGUUCUCCAACCUCCGAGGUAAGAAAACUUUGUUUUCUUCUUCUAUGUUUGGUUAUUCUCAUUCUCAGCACAGUAAAUCAUAUAACUUCAUUUGCAAAUUCCACAUCGCCGUGGCUCUGUCUUUCCCUGUCUUGAACAUCUAGAGCUAUAUAUGUACAUGUUCUGCGGAUGGGUCAAUCUUCUUGCUUCUAUACUCAAUGAGUCUCCAAGAUUCCAAUCUCUCAAGCUUAUGUCGAAUCAUAGUGCCCAAUACAAUGAUCCGAUGAACUUUUGGGACGAACCAGCAGUUGUUCCCGAAUGUUUAUUGACGCAUCUAGAGAUCUUUGAAUGGAGACAAUAUGAAAACACAGUGCAGCAUAGGAAAGUGGCUGCGUGCAGCGCUACUUGUCUAAAGAUGGCAACAUUGUCAGCAAGAAGUAGAAACAGAGAUGAUCGCAUGGUCAUGAAGUUAAAGAAACUGAAAAGAAUUUCGAAGACAUGCCGGUUAGUUUUUGAGUAAACACUCUUAUAAUGGUGUAUGUAGGCCUGGGCGUUCGGGUACCCGUUGGCAUUCGGGUCGGGUUUUUCGGGUUUUCGGAUUUUCGGGUUUACGCUUUUAGGUUCCAUACUAAAAUUUUAUUAGUAUGGGUCGGGUUCGGAUAAUAACACUUCGGGUUCAGUUCAAAAUUGUAUUGCAUCAUAAAACCCAUAAAGUAAUCAUAUAUCGUACGGAUUCGGG